CGACUGUGAAGAGGGGUGCAGCUUCGUUUUGGUGCCUGGAUCAACUCGUGUUUGAGCACACAAACACAUCUAUUCAGGUGUAUUUAUGUCAGACAGUCAGUGAAAUGUGUGGAAAAUUAAAAGAAAGGCACCAGAUAUAGCAUCCUUCUUCAGGAAGAGUAGCAAGAAGCAGCCAAAUGACUCUAAGACACAGGAGAAUAAUAGGCAGGAUGAAAGAGAGAAAGAACAGACUGACCCAGAGAGUGAGGGAGAAGAAUCUCCAGAGAGCACAAGCCCAAGAGAAAUGUCAGCACUUUCUCAGACAGUUCAGGAGACAAACUUUGAGAAUGAAGAGGAGCCAACUACCAGUAACCACGCUGACCCAAUAGGACCUCCAGAAACACUCUGCUUUGGUGCUGUUUCUCCUCAGGGACGGAUUACCGAUUGGGCCAAUGGGGCCAGUGCCCAGGGGCCCUUGACUACCAGGGGGCCCUUGACUGCCCGGGGGUGCCCAGGGCUUUAACUCUGCUUUAACCCUCAAAACAAACUUUCUGCAUUUUUACAUUUUCAAUAAAGCAUAAUUUUGUAUGUGUUUCAAGCAAUCUGAAUUAUGGAAACACUAGAAAUAUCAUCAUAAACCACAUUUAUUGCAUUAUACCCUUGUAAUUACCAGGUCAUACCCUAAAAAAAAGGCAUCAUAAACCACCAAAACCCACCCAUCCAGCUUAACCAGCAUGCAAUUCCCAUGCUAGUUUAAUGGUGUUUAGUGCUGGUUUGAUGCUGGUCUUGCUGAUGGACCAGCAUAGCUAAUUAAAAAGCAUUGUACAGUCACCAGCACACCAGCAUGCCAUGCUGGGGGACCGGCAAACAAUACACAACUUAAGCUGGUGACCAGUAAUGCUAGAUUUUUUUAGCAGGG